GGUGGUGAGGCGGCUGCGCGGAGUGUUGUGGAGCGGCGGCGCGAGGCGAGCUGGCGGAGACGGGGCAGGAACCGCCGGCGGCCCGGCCUGAAGCGAAGGGUCUUCCAUCACCCCCUCCCUCCCCCGUCCCUCUCUUACCUUCCCCGCCCCCACACCCUUCCACCACCCCCCACUCGGUUUCCAUUACACCCCCAAACCCCUCCUUUAGGCCUUUGUCCACCCCGAGCCGGCAAUCCUGGAGAUGGAAAGGAAGCGCUUCGAGUGCUCGGCGCUCCCCUCCGGCUGGAAAAGGGAAGAAGUGACUCGAAAGUCAGGCCUGUCGGCGGGGAAGAGCGACGUCUAUUAUUAUAGGUUGCCUGUCCAUCACGCACCAUUCCCUGGCCAAGAAGAGAGGCAGGUGAUCUGCAACCAGGCCUCUGCCAAUGUAGCUCUUGAGCUGUCCACUAGGAGCCCAAGUGGAAAGAAGUUCAGAAGCAAGCCACAGCUUGCGCGUUACCUGGGAAAUUCAAUGGAUCUGAGCAGUUUCGAUUUCCGAACAGGGAAGAUGCUGAUUAGCAAACUGAACAAGAACAGACAGAGACUGCGCUUCGACUCUGCCAACCAGGUCAAGGGCAAACCAGAUCUGAACACUUCACUUCCUGUUAGACAGACAGCUUCAAUCUUCAAACAACCAGUUACUAAAGUGACCAACCACCCCAACAACAAAGUAAAAAUGGAUCCACAGAAAGCUGUAGAACAGCCACGGCAGUUAUUCUGGGAGAAGAAGCUGACUGGAUUGAAUGCCUUUGAUAUUGCUGAAGAAAUCAUAAAGACUAUGGAUCUACCUAAAGGUCUACAAGGCGUGGGGCCAGGAUGCACAGAUGAAACUUUGUUGUCUGCUAUAGCGAGUGCUUUACACACUAGUUCCAAUCCUAUUACUGGACAACUCUCUGCAGCAGUAGAAAAGAAUCCUGGUGUAUGGCUGAAUACCUCCCAACCUCUCUGCAAAGCUUUCAUGGUCACUGAUGAGGACAUUAGAAAGCAAGAAGAACUUGUACAACAGGUGCGGAAGAAGUUGGAGGAGGCACUGAUGGCUGAUAUGCUAGCACAUGCUGAGGAAUCUGGAAAGGAGUCAGAUAUAGCACAAGACAAAGAAGAGGAUGUAUAGCCAAGGUACCUUGAGGAUGAGCAGAAUCUUGCAUUCUCCAUUCCUUGGUGGAGUUGAAUCAAGUUGGUUGGGAAAGCGACAUAAUGGCUGACAGAACCAGUUACACACUUGUUAUCAGGAGAUUAUUAGAAUCCAAUUUUUUCAGGGAAGUGUGGACAUAAAGAUGAGUGAAAAUAUUCAUAAGGAUGAGAAUCACUGAAUAAUUGUAUCAUUUGGAAUUUCUGCAUCCAAACUGGUUUAUAAUAUGUUUGUAGAACUACUUUUCCAGUUUAAAAAUAAAAGUGCUUUUUGUCAGAUGGAAACGGUCAUUGUGAUGGGCAUGUAGACCAUUGCCAGUAAUCAUUUUUAAACUUGAAGUUUGUUUUUAUAUGCUCACAUUUUUUAAAGCUAUGUAAAAUACUGUAAAAUUUGAUAUGUGCAAGUUGUCUGUUGGUAGAUAUAUUCUUUUGUUUGUGGUUUAAUCGUGAAAUAAGCAUACAUACAUCUUUGACGAGCACCAGAGAAUGAAUCCAAUAUUUCUAGUUUUGUAUGUUGCGUUUCUAGACCAUUGCAUUCUUGAUCCUGUAAUGAGGCAAACUGCAUUCAUGCACGUUCUGUGGAAAAUUGUUUUGAAAGUGUUUUAUAAUGCAUGUUUCCAAUUCUUUCCCACCUUCAGUAUGUGUACAUUAUGUGUAGUGAAAGCAAACUGUAAAAGCUGGAAUAGCUUGUUAAUAAAAUCUAUUUACUAAA